UACGACUACAUAUCAGGCAUAUCAAUAAGCGGAGGAAAAGAAACUAACUAGGAUUCCCUAGUAACGGCGAGUGAAGCGGGAAGAGCUCAAAUUUGAAAUCUUAAAGGGUUUCCCUUGACGAAUUGUAGUUUAUAGAAGUGUUUUCUGUAGUGGAGUUCGGUAAAAGUUCUUUGGAAUAGAACAUCAUAGAGGGUGAGAAUCCCGUAUUUGACCGUUAUUCUCUAGCUGUGUGAUACACUUUCAAAGAGUCGGAUUGUUUGGGAAUGCAGUCCAAAAUGGGUGGUAAAUUUCAUCUAAAGCUAAAUAUUGGCGAGAGACCGAUAGCGAACAAGUACCGUGAGGGAAAGAUGAAAAGAACUUUGAAAAGAGAGUUAAACAGUACGUGAAAUUGUCAAAAGGGAAGCGUUUGACACCAGUGUUGUUUUCUCGAAAAUCAAUUAAAAAUGAACUUGAUUUUGUGUUGUAUUGACCUUAUAAGCUUUCUGCACUUUUUUCUUGUUAUUUUUAAUGCACUUUUCGUUUAACAAGUCAACAUCAAUUUCUUUUGUUGUAAAAGGGUCAUUGGAAGGUGGCUUUCACUUUCGGUGAAAGUGUUUAUAGCCUUUGACUUCCUACAAUCGGAGAGACUGAGGUCUGCAGCGUAGAUCCUUUUGGGAUUAGAUUCAGUUAGAUGCUAAGUUAUAGCUUUGUAUAGACAACAUGUUGACUAUGAUUAGUCAUUGUAGCUUACUCGCUGUAUGUAUUUUACCUACGCUUAGGAUGUUGAUCUCUCACAGUCGAGC
rnacentral:rRNA from 1 species